rnacentral:misc_RNA from 1 species
AUCAGCUGUUCUAUGUCAACAAAAACAACAGCUUUUCUAAUCUAAUUUUUGAAGAGGCCUUAACAACAAUGUUAUAAUAAACUUGCCAGAUACUAUGAGUUAUGUGUGAAGACAAAAAAUGCAAAGUUCUAUUUGAUAGAGAUAUCCUCAUAAGACCCACAGGGGAGUGUGACAUGUAAUGACAAUCACAAACAGACUCUCAGACUUUUGCAUUCCACUCAUAAAAGCUUCCUCAAAAGUUAACUCAAGACCAGGGAGAAAAGUGGCCCGAAAUGUCCCGCACAGGAAGCCUUGGCCUAGACGUGGAGAUCCUGCGCCGCCUCAACCGGGAUCGGCUGGUGCGGGUGUUGGAGGAUGCGCCAGGAUCCAAGGACCUAGUGAUCGACGGUGACCUCCUCAAGAUGCUAGACCGCAUUGCAGGGGCUACCUUGCUCAGGAGUCAUGGGGUGGAAAAGAUGCACAAGCUGCAGCGCGUUCCCCCCCCAGUGCAGUGUGGGCAGCGGGUGUACAUCGUGCGUCCUGCUCUUGUCACCCUCAAAUAUAUUGCAGAUCAUGUGCAUGAAGAUGCCAGGACCCAUCCUGAUCUGAGAGUUCACGUCGUGGUGGUGCCCCGCUUGACGCCCUCGGUGACGGGGCUGCUGGAGGAGGAGGGCCUCUACGGGACACUCAACCUUCACGAGUUCACGCCGGAGUUCGUGCCUUUGGACGAUGACCUCCUCUCGCUCGAAAUGACUUCGUUCUUCAGAGACGCGUUCCUGGGCGGCGACUACUCCGGCUGCGUGGGCGUGGCGCGGGCGCUGAACACGCUGCAGGGGCUGUUCGGCGCCUUCCCCAACGCGGUGGCGCACGGGCGGGCGGCGCGGGCGGUCGUGGGCGCCCUCGACGCCCUCACGGCGCAGGAGUCGCCCAAGAAGGGCCUGCAGCUGCCGGAGAUCGGGCACCUGUUCGUGUUCGACCGCGACGCCGACCUGGUGACGCCCCUGCUGAGCCAGCUGACGUAUGAGGGCGCCCUGGACGAGCACUUCGGCAUCCGCGCGGGCGUGGUGGAGCUGCCGAAGGAGGUGGCCGGCCCCGACGCCCCCACCAAGCUGCCCCUCAACGCCAGGGACACCAUCUACGACAACAUCAGGAACAGGCACUUCGCCGGCGUCUCCGGCUACCUCAUUACGAGGGCGCAUGAGGUGAAGGCGAAGCGCGAGCAGGCGCAGACGAUGACGACGGCGCAGAUGAAAGACUUCGUGGCCAACGAGAUCCAGACGCUGCAGCAGCUGCAGCGCUCGCUGUCUCUGCACCUGUCGGCGUGCGAGGCCAUCACGACGCGCACGCGCAAGGACUUCGACUCGCAGCUGAGCAUAGAGCACGGGCUGGUGACGGGCGCGGGCACGGCGACGGAGGCGCAGACCUUCCUCAAGGACUGCCUGGCCCGCAUGCUGCCCCUGCACGCCAACCUGCGCCUGCUGUGCCUGCUGUCGCUCACGCAGGACGGCCUCUCCAGGGACCGCUACAACAUGCUCAGCCAGCGCCUCCUGGCGGCGCACGGCCACCGGCACCUGGUCACGCUGCAGCACCUGCGCCAGAUCGGCCUCCUCGCCGUCAACGACUCCUUCACGUCUGGCGGCAGCGGCGGCGGCACGGGCGGCGCCAACGGCAGCGGGGGCUCGGGCGGCUCGGGCUCCGGCGGCGUGGCGCCCCUGCAGGACCGGCUGGCGCAGGUGGCGUCGCUGCUGCCCCGCCGCGGCUCCGGCUGGCGCGCCGCCGCCAAGCGCCUCCGCCUGAUCCCCGACGCCGAGCGCAGCAUCGACCUCCACAACCCGACCGACAUGAGCUACGUGUUCAACGGCGCCUACACGCCCGCGGUGCCCAAGGUGGUGGGCGACGUGCUGUCGGGGCGCCUGUCGCCGUCGCAGCUGCAGGACGCCCUCAAGGUGCUGCCGGGGACCACGGUGGUGAGGACGGCCGCUCCCGGAGGGCCCCCGCCCCCCCGCGUCGCCCUCGUCGUCCUGCUGGGCGGCAUCACCUUCGCCGAAGUGGCCGCCUUCCGCCUCCUCGCCCUCACCUCCAGCACCAGGAUCGUCCUCGCCGCCACCGCCACCGCCACCGGGACAGACCUCGUCGGCGCCGCCGUCGUCUAGCUCCUCGGCGCCGGGGAGGAGGAGCGGGCGAGCCGGGGAGAGGAGGAGCAGAAGGAAGGACAGACCAAAUAAAGACAUCGCGGGAGAAGCCAACAAAGCAGAAAGUAAAAAGAAAAAUAAUUACCUGUCACGCCAUUGGUCUAAAAUUUAUACAUAUGUUGAUAAUGGCUUGACACGUUUGUGCCCAUAUCGCAAUCAUUUCUUAGGAAUAUGUUGCUCAACUUGAGAGAGAGAGAGAGAGAAAGAGAGAGAGAGAGAGAGAGAGAGAGAGAGAGAGAGAGAGAGAGAGAGA